rnacentral:rRNA from 1 species
UACGUAGGGGGCGAGCGUUGUCCGGAAUUAUUGGGCGUAAAGAGCGUGUAGGCGGUUCGGUAAGUCUGCCGUGAAAACCUGGGGCUCAACCCCGGGCGUGCGGUGGAUACUGCCGGGCUAGAGGGUGGUAGAGGCGAGUGGAAUUCCCGGUGUAGCGGUGAAAUGCGCAGAUAUCGGGAGGAACACCAGUGGCGAAGGCGGCACUCUGGGCCAGUAUUGACGCUGAGGAGCGAAAGCGUGGGGAGCGAACAGG